GGGUUGUGAGGUUAAGCGACUAAGCGUACACGGUGGAUGCCCUGGCAGUCAGAGGCGAUGAAGGACGUGCUAAUCUGCGAUAAGCGUCGGUAAGGUGAUAUGAACCGUUAUAACCGGCGAUUUCCGAAUGGGGAAACCCAGUGUGAUUCGUCACACUAUCAUUAACUGAAUCCAUAGGUUAAUGAGGCGAACCGGGGGAACUGAAACAUCUAAGUACCCCGAGGAAAAGAAAUCAACCGAGAUUCCCCCAGUAGCGGCGAGCGAACGGGGAGGAGCCCAGAGCCUGAAUCAGUGUGUGUGUUAGUGGAAGCGUCUGGAAAGGCGCGCGAUACAGGGUGACAGCCCCGUACACAAAAAUGCACAUACUGUGAGCUCGAUGAGUAGGGCGGGACACGUGGUAUCCUGUCUGAAUAUGGGGGGACCAUCCUCCAAGGCUAAAUACUCCUGACUGACCGAUAGUGAACCAGUACCGUGAGGGAAAGGCGAAAAGAACCCCGGCGAGGGGAGUGAAAAAGAACCUGAAACCGUGUACGUACAAGCAGUGGGAGCCUCUUAAUGGGGUGACUGCGUACCUUUUGUAUAAUGGGUCAGCGACUUAUAUUCUGUAGCAAGGUUAACCGAAUAGGGGAGCCGAAGGGAAACCGAGUCUUAACUGGGCGUUAAGUUGCAGGGUAUAGACCCGAAACCCGGUGAUCUAGCCAUGGGCAGGUUGAAGGUUGGGUAACACUAACUGGAGGACCGAACCGACUAAUGUUGAAAAAUUAGCGGAUGACUUGUGGCUGGGGGUGAAAGGCCAAUCAAACCGGGAGAUAGCUGGUUCUCCCCGAAAGCUAUUUAGGUAGCGCCUCGUGAAUUCAUCUCCGGGGGUAGAGCACUGUUUCGGCAAGGGGGUCAUCCCGACUUACCAACCCGAUGCAAACUGCGAAUACCGGAGAAUGUUAUCACGGGAGACACACGGCGGGUGCUAACGUCCGUCGUGAAGAGGGAAACAACCCAGACCGCCAGCUAAGGUCCCAAAGUCAUGGUUAAGUGGGAAACGAUGUGGGAAGGCCCAGACAGCCAGGAUGUUGGCUUAGAAGCAGCCAUCAUUUAAAGAAAGCGUAAUAGCUCACUGGUCGAGUCGGCCUGCGCGGAAGAUGUAACGGGGCUAAACCAUGCACCGAAGCUGCGGCAGCGACACUUAUGUGUUGUUGGGUAGGGGAGCGUUCUGUAAGCCUGCGAAGGUGUGCUGUGAGGCAUGCUGGAGGUAUCAGAAGUGCGAAUGCUGACAUAAGUAACGAUAAAGCGGGUGAAAAGCCCGCUCGCCGGAAGACCAAGGGUUCCUGUCCAACGUUAAUCGGGGCAGGGUGAGUCGACCCCUAAGGCGAGGCCGAAAGGCGUAGUCGAUGGGAAACAGGUUAAUAUUCCUGUACUUGGUGUUACUGCGAAGGGGGGACGGAGAAGGCUAUGUUGGCCGGGCGACGGUUGUCCCGGUUUAAGCGUGUAGGCUGGUUUUCCAGGCAAAUCCGGAAAAUCAAGGCUGAGGCGUGAUGACGAGGCACUACGGUGCUGAAGCAACAAAUGCCCUGCUUCCAGGAAAAGCCUCUAAGCAUCAGGUAACAUCAAAUCGUACCCCAAACCGACACAGGUGGUCAGGUAGAGAAUACCAAGGCGCUUGAGAGAACUCGGGUGAAGGAACUAGGCAAAAUGGUGCCGUAACUUCGGGAGAAGGCACGCUGAUACGUAGGUGAAGCGACUUGCUCGUGGAGCUGAAAUCAGUCGAAGAUACCAGCUGGCUGCAACUGUUUAUUAAAAACACAGCACUGUGCAAACACGAAAGUGGACGUAUACGGUGUGACGCCUGCCCGGUGCCGGAAGGUUAAUUGAUGGGGUUAGCGGUAACGCGAAGCUCUUGAUCGAAGCCCCGGUAAACGGCGGCCGUAACUAUAACGGUCCUAAGGUAGCGAAAUUCCUUGUCGGGUAAGUUCCGACCUGCACGAAUGGCGUAAUGAUGGCCAGGCUGUCUCCACCCGAGACUCAGUGAAAUUGAACUCGCUGUGAAGAUGCAGUGUACCCGCGGCAAGACGGAAAGACCCCGUGAACCUUUACUAUAGCUUGACACUGAACAUUGAGCCUUGAUGUGUAGGAUAGGUGGGAGGCUUUGAAGUGUGGACGCCAGUCUGCAUGGAGCCGACCUUGAAAUACCACCCUUUAAUGUUUGAUGUUCUAACGUUGGCCCCUAAUCGGGGUUGCGGACAGUGUCUGGUGGGUAGUUUGACUGGGGCGGUCUCCUCCUAAAGAGUAACGGAGGAGCACGAAGGUUGGCUAAUCCUGGUCGGACAUCAGGAGGUUAGUGCAAUGGCAUAAGCCAGCUUGACUGCGAGCGUGACGGCGCGAGCAGGUGCGAAAGCAGGUCAUAGUGAUCCGGUGGUUCUGAAUGGAAGGGCCAUCGCUCAACGGAUAAAAGGUACUCCGGGGAUAACAGGCUGAUACCGCCCAAGAGUUCAUAUCGACGGCGGUGUUUGGCACCUCGAUGUCGGCUCAUCACAUCCUGGGGCUGAAGUAGGUCCCAAGGGUAUGGCUGUUCGCCAUUUAAAGUGGUACGCGAGCUGGGUUUAGAACGUCGUGAGACAGUUCGGUCCCUAUCUGCCGUGGGCGCUGGAGAACUGAGGGGGGCUGCUCCUAGUACGAGAGGACCGGAGUGGACGCAUCACUGGUGUUCGGGUUGUCAUGCCAAUGGCACUGCCCGGUAGCUAAAUGCGGAAGAGAUAAGUGCUGAAAGCAUCUAAGCACGAAACUUGCCCCGAGAUGAGUUCUCCCUGACUCCCUGAGAGUCCUGAAGGAACGUUGAAGACGACGACGUUGAUAGGCCGGGUGUGUAAGCGCAGCGAUGCGUUGAGCUAACCGGUACUAAUGAACCGUGAGGCUUAACCUUACAACGCCGAAG
rnacentral:rRNA from 1 species